UAAAAUGCAUGCGAAAUCGGAGUCGAAAAUACGGUGAAAUUCAAUGUCAUCAACCAUCACCACCUAAAUUUGACAUGGUUAAUUAAAAAAUAAUAAUAACAAUCCUCACGUGCUUACACUCAAAUUUGACUUUUAAAAAAAAAGGAACACUCUUUCCUUUUUUCACUCAAUUGCUCUUUUUAGUUCUUUAAAGAAACCAAAUUCAAUCACACAAGAAAAACAAAUUUCAAAUGGUAAAUACUCAAAAGG
rnacentral:lncRNA from 1 species